GGUCUUAUAUUCAUUAAUGAUAUCAGAAUGCAAUUCUGAGGGUGUAAUUAUUACUAAGGCUU
rnacentral:tRNA from 1 species